GCCAGGCACUGCAGAUGUGAAAAUAGACCAGGCCUGCUCUCAAGGAGCCCCGAGGUCUCUGCUGAAGUGCAAAAGAGGGACACAGUUCGAUCCUGUGUGCACUGUUUAAAACGAAAUAAAAACAACUUCGAAAACAAUCGCAGACCAGUGGAAGAGACAAAGGUGACGGUGAUGACAAGCACCUUUCUUAGUUCCUUCCGGCCAGAGGACUGAUACCUACCCCAGUGAUGAGUCUAAAGCAAGCUGUUUGAAGGAAUUAUGCAAAUAUCACGAUGGAGUAAAUGAUGAGGGGCCAACCUCUCCUUGAUCUUCAUCUGCUUUGUCCCAUGGUGGCCUCCUAUUCCAGUAUAACAGGUGUCCUCAAGUGAAACUUGAGGAGUGGAGGGGCAGAGGGAGAUAAAGAGACUCAGAGAAGUUAAGCAUUCAGCUAAGAUGACAAAGCUUUCGGUGCUAUUUUCAAUACAUUAUUGACCUUCGGUUUACUGAGCAGCCCUUUCCAGGAUCCAGGUUAGUUUCAUAAAUCUGCCUGGUACUCAGAAGCACAGGAAGCAAAAGUCUAU
ensembl:lncRNA